UUUGCCUAACACACGAGUCAAGAUUUUCUAGGAGUUCCACCAAAGGAUCACGAAAGUAGAGGAACAGCCCUCUCAGCUGUGGUAUUACCAAGCAAACCUGCUGCUGGUUCUGUGCCAGCCAUGCUGUCUGCUUCCAGCCUGGUACUUAUGAUCUUGUUGAUGUUGGGAGGGACCAGUGGAGACUCAGUGAACCAGACAGAAGGCCCUGUUACCCUCCCAGAGGGGAAAACUUUGACGCUGAGGUGCACUUACCAGACCAGCUCUGGGUAUUCAGUUUAUCUUUUCUGGUAGCAUGAAGUGGGUACCAUGUGAGUGUGUUUGUGACCAUGAGGUGGCAGUGGUUCUGUUCUUCUCAUUUCACAAAUGCCUUAAAUGUUGAAAGCAGGAUGGUUACUAGAGGAUUUGCUCCUGAUUGGCUCACCCACCAACAGAAACGCUCUCUUGAGCAUGAGAGAACAAGAACAAGACAUAAAAACAGCUCCUCAGAGAAGUUUUGGAAUCAUUACAAGUUGUGUCAAGACAGAUAUCAUGAUGGAGAGCAUGCUGGAGUAUGCAGUGAUACUCUUGUGGCUUCAGCUUGGCUGGUUGAGUGGAGAAGACCAGGUGGAGCAAAGUCCUCAGACCCUGAGGAUCCAGGAACGAGAGAGUGUCAGCCUCAAAUGCAGUUACACAGUCAGCGCUUUCAGAGCACUGCAGUGGUACAGGCAAGAUCCUGGGAAAGGCCCCAAAUUCCUCUUCAACCUGUAUUCAGUUGGGAAAGAACAGCAGAAUGAGAGACUAACGGCUAUGCUUUCAGAGAAGGGGAGUUCUCUGCACAUCAACACCCCUAAAGCUGAAGACU